AAAUCGUGUUAUGGGCAUAAACUGAUAAGAUCAUUGAACUGCUCCCAACAUUGGAAGAAUGUUUCAUCUUUCUUUUGGGUGAAGUUCAAGAUUGACUUUUUGAGGGU